CUUUGGGAUUUCGUGCGGGAUUGUUCGGAGCUGCGGCGAACGCGAGUUUCCAAUUGUGGUACAUUAUAGUUAAUACCAGAAGUGAAACAUUGAGCAACCUACCCCAACGCGUAACCGACUAACGGCGUGCGGGGCAGAAGAGGCCCAACGUAACUCGCGCUUUAUCCCCCCACCUACUAUAUAGUGUUGAAAUAUUGCGAAAAGACAGUUCUGUGGCAUGUGACACAUGUGAAAAUGCCCAAGGCGUGGCCCAAAAGCAAAGUGAAGCUGCAACAAAUUCCAAAUCGAAGCAACAUCUUGUGGCUGCCACGCAGAGUCAUGUUGUCGUCGCAAGCAGCCAGCCAGCAAGCUGCCAACACUGAAAUGAAGAAAUGAAUGUGACAUGUAAAAGCAAAUAUAACAACAACAUAAGCAACGAUAAAAAAAACAGCAACAAUAACAAUACAAACAAUAACGACAAAAGUAAUUUGAAUUUGUGCGAGCAACAGGAAACAAAACAAGACAGAAGCACACACACACACACACCGAUACAGAUAGAGAUAGAGAGAGAGGGAGAGAGAGUGCAAGUGUGAGCGAGAGACGGAUAGAGAAUGCAAAUUGUGUGCAUAUUUUGCUAGUGUAUGUGUGUGUUGUGUCCGUGUAAAUAAAUGCGAUAUAAAACGGCAACAGCAACAGCAACAGAAACAGAAUCAACAGCAACAGAAACAGCAGCAAAGUCCAAAAAGAAAAGAAUAACAAAAAGAAAAACGGCAAAAAGUGCAGUUAAGCGUAGAAAUUGCAUUAAAAAUUGAAAAAAAUAAAGUGGAAAGGCAAAAGAAGGGAAAGAAGAAGAACAGGAUAGUCGUGGCUAACGAGCGCUAAAAAGCAACAGGAAAAAAAAA